rnacentral:rRNA from 1 species
CGUCAAAGCUAAUUUUAAACCCAUAAAAUAACCCCUCUACCUCCAUAGAACCCCUCAACAGUACUGAACGAUUUUAUAUCCCUAUAAAACCCUUUAUGUUAGAACUAGUAACAAGAAGUCACCUUCUCUUCCUAUACAAAUGUAAAUCAGAACAGAAAAUCUACUGAUCCUUAACAGCUUAAAAUCAAAGUAAAAAAUUUUCUAGAAAACUCUACUUCACCAUCUGUUAACCUUACACAAGAGUAUAAAAAGAAAGAUUUAAAGAAAAAGAAGGAACUCGGCAAACCCUGAUUCCGCCUGUUUACCAAAAACAUCGCCUCCUGCUAACCUAUAGGAGGUCCAGCCUGCCCGGUGACCUAGUUUAACGGCCGCGGUAUCCUAACCGUGCGAAGGUAGCGUAAUCACCUGUUUUUUAAUUGAAGACCUGUAUGAAUGGCAUCACGAGAAUCAAUCUGUCUCCCCUUUCUGAUCAGUGAAACUAAUCUCCCCGUGAAAAAGCGGGGAUAAAACCACAAGACGAGAAGACCCUUUGGAGCUUAAGACAAAGUAACAUCCUGCUCAACCAUAAAAUCCUACCCCAAUUAGCACCUACUUACUAGUCUUUGGUUGGGGCAACCGCGGGGCAGAAAAAAACCCCCAAGAUGAAUUAGAACUUUCCUAAACAAAAAGCCACAACUUUAAGUAUCAAUAAAUUGACAUUAUGACCCAAUAUUUUUGAUUAUCGAACCAAGUUACCCUAGGGAUAACAGCGCAAUCCGCUUCGAGAGUUCAUAUCGACAAGCGGGCUUACGACCUCG